rnacentral:rRNA from 1 species
UACAGAGGGGGCGAGCGUUAUUCGGAAUUAUUGGGCGUAAAGGGCGCGUAGGCGGCCUUUCAAGUGACGGGUGAAAUCCCUCGGCUUAACCGAGGAACUGCCUGUCAGACUGGAAGGCUUGAGACCGGGAGAGGUGAGUGGAAUUCCCAGUGUAGCGGUGAAAUGCGUAGAUAUUGGGAGGAACACCAGUGGCGAAGGCGGCUCACUGGACCGGUACUGACGCUGAGGCGCGAAAGCGUGGGGAGCAAACGGG